rnacentral:rRNA from 1 species
CGCGUGGGAACCAGCCUUUCGGUUCGGAAUAACAGUUGGAAACGACUGCUAAUACCGGAUAAUGACUUCGGUCCAAAGAUUUAUCGCCGAAAGAUGGGCCCGCGUUAGAUUAGCUAGUUGGUGGGGUAAAGGCCUACCAAGGCGACGAUCUAUAGCUGGUCUGAGAGGAUGAUCAGCCACACUGGGACUGAGACACGGCCCAGACUCCUACGGGAGGCAGCAGUGGGGAAUAUUGGACAAUGAGCGAAAGCCUGAUCCAGCAAUGCCGCGUGAGUGAUGAAGGCCUUAGGGUUGUAAAGC